rnacentral:ncRNA from 1 species
GUUUUUCAAAGCCAAACCUAACGUAAGUUAGGGACGGAAAGUUGCGGAUCCAAUCGUAUUUGGAAAGUCGAACUGCCGAG